GCCAAAAGUCAUUUUAGGGCUGGAAUAGUAAUUACAGCAUUAAUCAGAUUCACUCUAUGGAUAAACACGGCGGAGAGAGUCGCGUCGAUCACUGCGCUCCGGUGCCGCUUCCCGCAAGAGGAGGCUAUUCAAUAGCAUGACCAAUUUCACGGCGGUCACCUUGCCACUACCGAAAUUUCAACGGCCAGCCGAACGAGUCCACCGGCUUCCACCUCAACAUCGACUCCAAUCAUUCGCUGCCUCUCUCGGGUGACAAGAGACCGAUUCACUACUCUAGUAAUUUUGUGGCUUCUAAAUUUGAAGCUAUACGUCAAAUUGUUGUGCGCAUACGCCAACGUAGAUAACUUAAUGUUCGGGGCUGUGCUGCUUAAAUUUUGAAGCAUCAUUUUGCCUCCAAAUUUUGAUUUCAUGCUAAGAUAGUAGUUGCUUCGUGUUUAUGAGUUCGAAUAAUGUGAUCUCCGUCUUCGAUUAAGUUUACCGCUGUUUUGUGGGAGAUACUAUUGAGGUUGUUCUUCCUAAGGAUAAGCGGACUGGAUUACAGCAGGGCAUGAUUCAAUGAAUCGGUGGUUUCUGCUUUAACUUUCUUGUUUAUUAUGUUCAAUCGUAAUGUGUGGAUGGUUUAAUAGACGCAGGGGUAUCAUUAUAGUUGAAAUUUGAUCGGGAAUCACUAUUUGAUGAAGUACUCUGUCUUGAGUAAUAGGCAUGCUUUGAGAAGGGAUAUUAAAGAAGUGAGUACCUUUUAAUUGCAUUUGACACUUCCCAGACCUACAAUAACCUUGUUCCAUUGUAAAAGAGGUUUCAUAUGAACUAUGCCUGAGUUCACUGAUGUCUGCACUAGACCUUGUUUGUUGUUAAAUUUUCUUGUACUAGAGCCUGACUUGAAUUGCAUGAACCUUUGCUUUUGUAGUUAACUGUAAGAGAUGCAUAAAAAGAACUGCGAGUAGGCUCGUCAAUCAGUUGAGCUAGUGCCAAGUCCUUGAAAACAUGUACCUUUGACCUUCAAAUUCCUGAUCAUCUGUUUAUUUUUCCUUUAUAUAUUAACAGAGAUUUUUAUUGUUAAGGAUGAAUUCAAGCAAAAUCACGGUAUGCAUCUUCUGAGUCUUUGAGCUCACCCUUGUCUAAGUUCACUUAAAUCGCAUGAGCCUGAGAAACUAUUGCUGCUGAAGGAUUGCCAAGUUUGUGCACCCUUGAAACAACAACUUAAAUAGGUGAUUAAGGAAAAUAUCUUUAAGGCUCUCUCUGUUGCACUUGCACCUUGAUCUGUUUCCCUUUGCAUCUCUUAAAUACUAAGUAACUCCUUGCUUGUUGAUUAUUGUAACUUCAACCGUUUUUCCUCAUAUGCACCAUUUCUGGCUUUAAGGAUGUCGUUUUGUCCUAUAUAUUUUUAGAGAUGUUGCAUUUGCCGCAACUAACGCAUUAAAUGGAAUAGAUGUGAUUGUAAAACUUUAUGCUUACAUGUCAGUGUUUCUCAUUCCUUUCCAUUUUAGAAGUGAAUGCUAAAAUAUUUUUUCAUAGGUUUGUGAUCAACCAUUGAUUGUGCGGUUUGCAGAUCCAAAGUAGCCCCAAAUAUGGGAUUCAAGGUUAUCACCCGUUCUGUUAGUUAUCUACAUUUAUAGUUUUCUGAUAAUAGAUGUGUGCUCUAUCUCGUAGAUGGAGAGAUGUGCAGUGUGCCUUCCGUUUCUCAGUUCUAUGAUAUAGCUGGACGACCAUUUUUCUGGAGAGAUGGAGAAUCUAUGCCAGAUUGCCAGUCUUCUCACUCAGAAUGCAAGAUAGUAACAUGGCAAACAAGGAUUCUGCACCUGUAACCAGAGCAUUUGAUUCCAGUGCUGAGGUAGAGUCUGUAGAAUGUGACUGGAGCAAGCAUGUUUUUCCUGAUGGAGAUUUGUACUAUUAUAAGUGUGUGACAUGUGAAAGCAGGCAUGAUAUUAGUGGGAGAACCCUGUGGGGCUCAGUAUGUUAUGAACAAGAACUUGAUGGCCUAGAAGGACAGCAACAACACCUGCAUGAAUCAAAUUUACACACUUUUGUCCCAGGAGGUGUUUGAAGCCCAAAAGGUACCUGCUCUCACAUGCCUCCAAGAGCUAAUACAAAGGAAGCAUAGCUGCUGGAAUCACAUAUGGUACAAUGUGUAUAUUUAUGUUGUGUCUACCACUUCAACUCAUCUUCUGUUAGUUACCCAAAAAUCCCAAGUCAGUGGAUGGAUGGAAAAAGCACAACUUUGAUUCUUGAUGCCUGUUAGAAUGAUGCUGGCAUUGUUUGCCCAUGCACAGCCAUCUUCAAGAUGCAUUUAUCUGGGUUUUUGUUUGGUUGGUAGAGUGCGUGAGCUUCGAGAAUUAUGUUGCAUUGACUGGGUUAUGAAACUUCCUUGUUGAAGUGAAUAUAUUCACUCUAAUGGUGAAUCCUGCCUCUUUCACCCAUGUUACCUUGUUCUUUGAAAUUUGGUAAUGGAAAGUGAAAUUCUUAAAAGAAGUGGAUCUGGUGAAAAUGACAAAA